GACGAACGCUGGCGGCGUGCUUAACACAUGCAAGUCGAACGGAAAGGCCCUGCUUUUGUGGGGUGCUCGAGUGGCGAACGGGUGAGUAACACGUGGGUAACCUGCCCUUGACUUUGGGAUAACUUCAGGAAACUGGGGCUAAUACCGGAUAGGAGCUCCUGCUGCAUGGUGGGGGUUGGAAAGUUUCGGCGGUUGGGGAUGGACUCGCGGCUUAUCAGCUUGUUGGUGGGGUAGUGGCUUACCAAGGCUUUGACGGGUAGCCGGCCUGAGAGGGUGACCGGCCACAUUGGGACUGAGAUACGGCCCAGACUCCUACGGGAGGCAGCAGUGGGGAAUAUUGCACAAUGGGCGGAAGUCUGAUGCAGCAACGCCGCGUGCGGGAUGACGGCCUUCGGGUUGUAAACCGCUUUCGCCUGUGACGAAGCGGGAGUGACGGUAAUGGGUAAAGAAGCACCGGCUAACUACGUG
rnacentral:rRNA from 1 species